GUCCGUUUUCCCCCAUUUAUGGCCAUUUUGGUCCCAUUUCUCCCCAUUUUGGGGUCAUUUCCUCCCAUUUGGGUCCAUUUCCCCCCAUUUUGGGUCCAUUUUGGGUCCAUUUCCCCCAAUUUAGGGCCAUUUGGGGUCCAUUUUCCCCCAUUUAGGGCCAUUUUGUGCCCGUUUUCCCCCUUUUGGGACCAUUUCCCCCCAUUUAGGGCCAUUUUGGUCCCAUUUCCCCCCAUUUAGAGCCAUUUGGGGCCCAUUUCUCCCCAUUUAGGGUCAUUCGGGGUCCAUUUCCCCCCAUUUAGGGCCAUUUGGGGGCCAUUUUCCCCCAUUUAGGGCCAUUUUGGGCCCAUUUCUCCCCAUUUUGGGGUCAAUUCCUCCCAUUUGGGGUCCAUUUUCCCCCAUUUAGGGCCAUUUGGGGCCCAUUUCCCCCCAUUUAGGGCCAUUUUGGGGUCAAUUCACCCCCAUUUCCCCCAUUUUGGGUCCAUUUCCCCCCAUUUAGGGCCAUUUGGGUCCAUUUCCCCCCAUUUAGGGCCAUUUUGGGGCCGUUUUGGGGCCGUUCGGACCCUUUUAUCCCCCCC
rnacentral:lncRNA from 1 species